CCUACGGGUGGCAGCAGUGGGGAAUAUUGGUCAAUGGACGAAAGUCUGAACCAGCGAAGUAGCGUGAAGGAUGACUGCCCUAGGGGUGGUAAACUUCUUUUAUAGGGGAAUAAAUCACGGCACGUGUGCCUUUUUGCACGUACUUUAUGAUUAAAGCUCGGCUAACUCCGUGCCAGCAGCCGCGGUAAUACGGAGGAUCCGAGCGUUAUCCGGAUUUAUUGGGUUUAAAGGGAGCGUAGAUGGGUUGGUAAGUCAGUUGUGAAAGUUUGCGGCUCAACCGUAAAAUUGCAAUUGAUACUGGCAGUCUUGAGUACAGUUGAGGUAGGCGGAAUUCGUGGUGUAGCGGUGAAAUGCUUAGAUAUCACGAAGAACCCCGAUUGCGAAGGCAGCUUACUAAACUGUGACUGACAUUGAUGCUCGAAAGUGUGGGUAUCAAACAGGAUUAGAUACCCUAGUAGUC
rnacentral:rRNA from 1 species